CCUACGGGUGGCAGCAGUGAGGAAUAUUGGUCAAUGGGCGCUAGCCUGAACCAGCCACGUAGCGUGAAGGAUGACUGCCCUAUGGGUUGUAAACUUCUUUUAUAUGGGAAUAAAGUGCCGUAUGUAGACUACUUUGCAUGUACCUUAUGAAUAAGGACCGGCUAGCUCCGUGCCAGCAGCCGCGGUGAUACCGAGGAUACGAGCGUUAUCCGGAUUUAUUGGGUUUAGAGGGAGCGUAGGCGGGUUGUUAAGGCAGGUGUGAAAGUAUGCGGGUCAACCGUAAUAUUGCAGGUGAUACUGGCAGCCCUGAGUGCAGUAGAGGUAGGCGUAAGUCGUGGUGGAGCGGGGAGAUGCAUAGAUAUCACGCAGAA
rnacentral:rRNA from 1 species